rnacentral:SRP_RNA from 1 species
GCUGGGUUUGGUGGCUUGCUCGUGCUUGUAGUCCCAGCUAAUUGGAAGGCUGAGGUGAGAGGAUCGCUUAAGCCCAGGAGUUCUGGGCUGUAGUACGUUCUGCCGAUCAGGUGCCUGCACUAAGUUUGUCAUCAAUACGGUGACCUCCCAGGAGCGGGGGCGGGGGGGACCACCCGGUUGCCUAAGGAGGGGUGAAUUGGAAAUGGAGCAGGUCAAAACUUCCAUGCUGAUCAGUAGUGGGAUCGCGCCUGUGAAUAGCCACUGCACUACAGCUUGGGCAAAAUAUUGAGACACUGUCAUU